rnacentral:tRNA from 1 species
GGGAGGGUGGUGAAAUAAUCAUGGGCGGUUGUCAUUCGCUCGUUGCGCUGUGAGGCGCUCCUCUCU